rnacentral:snoRNA from 1 species
AGACCAUGAAAAGGAUAAUGUUGAAGUGAUUCUUUGUAUCUUUCCUAAGCCUCAUACAAUGAUUCAGAAUCUUGUUGCAUGAAUGAUGUGAUAUCGUUCCUCAUUUU